CAGUCGCCACGGUAAUACGUAGGGUGCAAGCGUUAAUCGGAAUUACUGGGCGUAAAGCGUACGCAGGCGGUUUUGUAAGACAGAGGUGAAAUCCCCGGGCUCAACUGCGGAACUGCCUUUGAUACUGGGUAUCUUGAGUAUGGAAGAGGUUAGUGGAAUUGCGAGUGUAGAGGUGAAAUUCGUAGAUAUUCGCAGGAACACCAGUGGCGAAGGCGGCUAACUGGUCCAUAACUGACGCUGAGGUGCGAAAGCGUGGGGAGCAAACAGGAUUAGAUACCCCAGUAGUCCUGUCUCUUAUACA
rnacentral:rRNA from 1 species